AGUGAACGCUGGCGGCAGGCCUAACACAUGCAAGUCGAGCGGCAGCGCGUUCUUCGGGAUGCCGGCGAGCGGCGGACGGGUGAGGGAUACAUCGGAAUCUCCUCCGCUGUGGUGGAUAAUCUAUUGAAACUAAGGCUAAUACUGCAUACGACCAACGGGUGCAAGCGGGGGAUCGCAGGAACUUGCGCGACAGGGUGAGUGGAUGCCCGAUUUGCUAGUUGGCGGGGUAAAGGCCGACCAAGCCGGCGAUCGGCGGCUGGUCUGAGAGGAUGAUCGGCCGCACGGGAACUGGGACACGGACAAGAGUCCUAAGGGAGGCAGCAGUGGGGAAUAUGGGACAGUGGGCGCAAGCCUGAUCCAGCGAUCCCGCGUGGGUGAAGAAGGCCUUCGGGUUGGAAAGACCUUUUGUGGGGGAAGAAACGGUGUCGGCUAAUACCCCGCGUGAAUGACGGUACCGGAAGAAUAAGCACCGGCUAACUUCGUG
rnacentral:rRNA from 1 species